GCUUACACAUGCAAGUCGAGCGGUAACAUUUCUAGCUUGCUAGAAGAUGACGAGCGGCGGACGGGUGAGUAACGCGUAGGAAUCUGCCUAGUAGUGGGGGACAACAUGUGGAAACGCAUGCUAAUACCGCAUACGCCCUACGGGGGAAAGGAGGGGAUCUUCGGACCUUUCGCUAUUAGAUGAGCCUGCGUGAGAUUAGCUAGUUGGUGGGGUAAAGGCCUAUCAAGGCGACGAUCUCUAGCUGGUCUGAGAGGAUGAUCAGCCACACUGGGACUGAGACACGGCCCAGACUCCUACGGGAGGCAGCAGUGGGGAAUAUUGGACAAUGGGCGCAAGCCUGAUCCAGCCAUGCCGCGUGUGUGAAGAAGGCCUUAGGGUUGUAAAGCACUUUCAGGAGUGAGGAAGGGUGUACGGUUAAUACCCGUAUAUUUUGACGUUAACUCCAGAAGAAGCACCGGCUAACUCUGUGCCAGCAGCCGCGGUAAUACAGAGGGUGCGAGCGUUAAUCGGAAUUACUGGGCGUAAAGCGCGCGUAGGCGGUUUGUUAAGUCGGAUGUG
rnacentral:rRNA from 1 species